rnacentral:rRNA from 1 species
CCUACGGGUGGCUGCAGUGGGGGAUAUUGCACAAUGGGGGAAACCCUGAUGCAGCGACGCCGCGUGGGUGAAGAAGCGCCUCGGCGCGUAAAGCCCUGUCAGCAGGGAAGAAAAUGCCGGUACCUGAAGAAGAAGCCCCGGCCAACUACGUGCCAGCAGCCGCGGUAAUACGGAGGGGGCGAGCGUUAACCGGAUUUACUGGGUGUAAAGGGGGCGCAGACGGCGGUGCAAGCCGGGAGUGAAAGCCCGGGGCCCAACCCCGGGACGGCUCUUGGAACUGCGUGGCUAGAGUGCAGGAGGGGGAGGCGGAAUUCCUGGUGUAGGGGUGAAAUGCGUAGAUAUCAGGAGGAACACCGGUGGCGAAGGCGGCCUGCUGGACUGCAACUGACGUUGAGGCCCGAAAGCGUGGGGAGCAAACAGGAUUAGAUACCCCGGUAGUC